rnacentral:lncRNA from 1 species
CUGCUGCUGCUUCGUCUACUAUUCAUUCACCUUGACUCGAUGACUGGUUAAGAUAACCCCGUUCAGAUGUGUUUUCUUUUUCUUUCCCCUUCUUCUUCUUCCCUUUUUUAUUCUUUUUUUAAACUAAACUUUUCUUCUCUCCCAAAAAAAGUUAUAAAAAGGAACGAAACAGAUUCAAGGAGAGCUCCAACAAACUGGAUGGCACACGCAUACUUUUCAGUCGAGGAAUACCAACUAGUUUUUGUGUUAUUCGAAUUUCUCUCUCUCUCUAGCUCCUUUAUUGUCGUCUUGUGUCACACCAAAAAGAUCGAAACUGAGGCGCAGUAAAAAUAAAAAAGAACAAGGGGAGAAAACAAAAAGAAGUGGUGGUUGGUGUCGCCAAAAAACUGAUCACGACCCGCACCGGAGCACCACCACCACGGAGACAAAAGCGAUAAAAACCGAGAAGGGCGGAGGGGGGUAGUAUCCAUAAAUUUAUUAACAGCAACUAUAAAGCCGAGCUGACAAACUCGGUGACUUGUGUCUUUUUUUUUCUUUUAAGGAUCUGUCUCGUUUGUUUCUUUUGGCAAACAAUUUCACAAUUUCUUUCCUUUUUGUUCUUUUUUUUGACAAAUCACUCGGUGAGUGUCGCCGUGUCAAAUGCGCGUGACAGGCAACGACGACACCAAAACUGGCAAACCAAAUGUGACGGGCGAGAGAAAAUGUUUUUUCGCUGCGACGAAUGUGUUGUUGGCAGCACACGACUGUUAUGAUUGGGCCGUUGUGCGCAGCUCAAGUGGUCCUCUUCAACUGGGCAACGUCAGAGGAGCAGCCACGUCUUGUUUCAUCAGUUCGUUCCGCCUUUUUCUUUCUCCCUUUUUACACACACACAGACGGACAGACAGACAGACACAUGUAGACUAUACUCUCGAUUCUUUUGGUGCAUUCUUCCGUUUCCCCUCCACCGUUUUUUUUUUGGGCUUUGCCCAGCUCUUGCCACACGGGACCCACCUUGUUUCCAACCCAAAGGACGGGCGCACGCUCCAUUUACAUCGGGCGCGCUGCUGAUCUGGAUGCCUUUUUUUCUUUUUCUUUUUUCCCAGCUGAUGGAAGCCCUCCCUGUUAAAAGUUGGAGGAAGAGAUGUAAAUGAGACACUUUUCAGCUGGCCGUUUACCAAAAGGAAAUCACCCAAUCGUGGGAUUCUUUUUCGACUCUCCCCAGAGAGCACACACCCUUGUCGUUUGCUGCUGCUGCGUUCGUUCGCCUGUGGCCAUUAACUCGUUUAUCUAUUGUCAGGUUUCUUUACUGUGUGUGUGUGUCCCAGAUCCGGUUAUCGACGAAUUUGCAAGCGCGCCCUUCUGAAAUUUAUCCUCGCCUCAAGUCCUACUAGGGAUCUGCCAAGGAUAUUCGAUCCGGAUUGAUUGGCUUUUGAUUGACGGCGCCUGGCGGAAGCUCCCAUUCCCCUAUAUACACCGGCUCCCACCGCCACCAGUUGAGUGCCGAGGAAAACGCCCUUGCACACGUCCAGCGCUGGAUUUUCUAAUGGAUUGGCGAUCACGAACGGUCGUUGGGCACGGGAGCGCCCCUGCCAUGCUUGGAGACCGCCAUUCCUGCCUUGUUAUGUGCCAUGCGCAUUAUCUGGCUCGCUCUCCGUGUGUAUUGUCUCCCACCAGACGGCCAAAUAACAAUCGACAUAACAAAUGGUUAAACAUGUCAUGCGUUUUAUAUGGCAUCAUCGAGUUCUUUUUUUUCUUUUUUGGCUUGUUUAGGUUUUACCAGCGGAACGAUAAUCAUCCCACAGCGGUCGCUUGUUUGUUUGUUAUCGCGCAAAUCCAGCGCAGCGUCCACAGCCCUUUGGGUCCUCACUGUCCUUCUCUCUUGCGUCGACGACGGAGCCUUUUUGAUUUCAAAACUUUUUCUUUUGAUUCUUCAAGCUGGGAAAAGGUGCAACGACUUUAUUUAAAUUUUUUUCUUUUUCAUUCUUCUGAUUCCUGGAUUUGAAACUUUUUUGGAGGAAUAAUACAAACGGAACAAUUGAAAGACACCUAUUUCGGGGGUUCAAAACCUUAAAAAAAAAAGUGAAACAAUGGAAGGGGAUUCAUGGGAAAAGUAAAAGAAAAAAAAACAUUUGAAACAUCAAAUGAAAUCGAAAAGAAGAAUCCACCAGGUGGUGAUUGGAAGAAUGAAAAAUAAUAAUAAUAAAAAAAAAGGUUUCUUGUUUUUUUGUGGGCGUGUUAAUUGUAAUGGACUUGGAAAAUUUGUGAGGCGCGAAACUUGGAACUUCGACCCCAGCAGCAGCAGCUCGUUGCUGCCUGCCCCCGGAAUGUAAAUGAGCCUUCUAAUUUCACCGCAUUGUAAAUUGCUCCUGUUCCAAUCUCCUCCCAGGGCAAGAAACGCGUACCUUAAUGUCUCUCUUUUCCAUUUUUCUACGUGUUUUUCCCUUCUUUAUUUUGUCUGGUCUUCUUUAUUUUGUCUGUUCGAAGAUGGGCCACACGCAACUUCGGACACUACGGAGGAGAGUAACGAUACACAAUCACAUUUGAAUGUGUCUGUACAUAGGCUUUUUAGAAACUCUCACAUUCCAUGAUUUGAAGGCCUAGAAUUAUGGAUGGGAUAUUCUAAUUUCUAACAAAAAUGCAUUUCACUACUCAUCAAGCAAGAUUUUUUCAAGCUAAGGUGGCAACGUUGAUAGUUUGACAGUCAACAACAAAAUGGCGGAGCAUUUGAGCAAGUUGGAUAUCGUUCAAACGACAGCAGCCUUAAAAUCCCUGCGUUCUCUGAGAAACAAUGUCGCUGCAUUAUUUUACAGCCUCACUGAAGGUAUCGGACUUCUAUCGGGAUAGGAUAGGAUAGUAAAGAAUCCAGAUUUUCAGCAGAGUUACAACAACAAUUGGUCACAGUUCAAAGUGGUAUCAAGAAUUUCGAAGAAGCUACACACAAUAUUUAUUCUGUUCAAGUCAAUGUGGGAAACAGUAGCCACUUAAAUCAGGAUUGCACCCCUGACGCCUUUAAUCUUUAUGAAUCCAUUGACUGAUAAUCUACAAGAUCUCAUUUGGUGGUAAGAAAUAUUUAAUUCAAUGACAUUUUCUUUUGUAUAGCUUGUAAAGUAUUCCUGUUAUGCUACAAAUUUAUUACUUAGUCAAAAUGCAUUGAAGUGUUCUACAUUGAUCCAUGGGAUAAGAGAUAUAUACUAUAUAUAAAUCUAAAUAUAUAGAAAUAAAUCUUGCCAUUACCCUUACUUAAAAUGCUGUUGAUUUUUAGAUUGGAAUGUUGCGCUGCCGUCGUUUAUAGGCCUACUAGUCGAAGACUCGAAACAACGAUGGUGAACAAAAUGGUGGAUCAAGCAAGAAGCAACAGCUGCCUUAAAAUCACUUCGAUAUCUGAGAAAAAAUGUCCCGACAUUGUUUCACAGCCCUGCACAGCCUCACUGAAGGUAUCGGACUUCAAUCGGGACAGGAAAUCACGGAAUCCAGAUUUGUAGCAGAGUUACAACAACAAUUGGUCACAUCAGUUGAAAGUGGUGUCAAGAAUUCAAAGCUAAAACUCUGCCACUUAUAGUCAAAAUGCACUCAAGCAUUCUACACAGACCCAUAUGCCAAGAGAAGCAGAAUCCAACAAACGUAGCAAGAAUGUCGUACCACAGUACAUAACUUAAACAAUCUGUCAAAUUGAAUCUCAAGUAAUUGUUUUUAUCGAGUAGACUACUAUUGGUAAUGUCAUCAACUCAGUAUGCCAUUCACUGGGGAAUAGUGUUAAGAUUUAAACAUUCAGGGAUCAAGUGCAGUGUUGCAGCAGGUAACUCUUGGGAAAAUCAUGAAUAGGGGAUUGUUGUUCACAAGAGGCUGUUGGUAGAGUGGGUCGUCAUGAAAGGCCCCACAAAAUACUCGAUGGAAGAUGGGAAAAUUGAUCUGUGGGGUAAACCUCGUUACAAAGUCUUCAGAAAAGUCACUGAAAACUCCAACCCAACUAUGCUCCACUUCUAUUCACCAGUUUUACCCUUAAAUUUUUCAUAAAUUUUUUUUUGUAACUAACGAGAAUUUGGACUCAAUGUAUUUCUGUAUCUU